rnacentral:tRNA from 4 species
GCCUGGUUAGUUUAACAGGAUAAAACGCGUCCCUCCUAAGGAUGAGCUCCGCGUUCGAGUCGCGGACCGGGUA